GAUGAAGAACGUAGUGAAAUGCGAUAAGUAGUGUGAAUUGCAGAAUUCAGUGAAUCAUCGAAUCUUUGAACGCACAUUGCGCCCCUUGGUAUCCCGAGGGGCAUGCCUGUUCGAGCGUCAUUUCACCACUCAAGCCUGGCUUGGUGUUGGGCGACGUCCUCUUUGGGGACGCGCCUCGAAACGCUCGGCGGCGUGGCACCGACUUUAAGCGUAGCAGAAUCUUUCGCUUUGGAAGUCGGGGCCCCGUCUGCCGGAAGACCUGCUCGCAAGGUUGACCUCGGAUCAGGCAGGGAUACCCGCUGAACUUAAGCAUAUCAAUAAGCGGAGGA
rnacentral:misc_RNA from 1 species